CCUACGUGAGGCAGCAGUGAGGAAUAUUGGUCAAUGGGCGCAAGCCUGAACCAGCCAAGUCGCGUGAGGGAUGACGUUCCUAUGGAUUGUAAACCUCUUUUGUCGGGGAGCAAGGCCCGCCACGUGUGGCGGGAAGGCGAGUACCCGAAGAAAAAGCAUCGGCUAACUCCGUUCCAGCAGCCGCGGUAAUACGGAGGAUUCGAGCGGUAUCCGGAUUUAUUGGGUUUAAAGGGUGCGUAGGCGGAAGGUUAAGUCAGCGGUAAAAUGUCGGUGCUCAACACCGGCCUGCCGUUGAAACUGGUCAUAUUGAGUGAGCGAGAAGUAUGCGGAAUGCGUGGUGGAGCGGUGAAAUGCAUAGAUAUCACGCAGAACUCCGAUUGCGAAGGCAGCAUACCGGCGCUCAACUGACGCUGAGGCACGAAAGCGUGGGGAUCGAACAGGAUUAGAUACCCUUGUAGUC
rnacentral:rRNA from 1 species